rnacentral:lncRNA from 1 species
GAGCAGUUCAGCCCCAGAGCAGCAGUACUGGGCCUGUUUGGAGAGCUGUCUUCCUAGUCCAUCACUGAGCUGCCUCAGGAGGCAGUGGAAGUGUUGAGAGACAGGGAUGGAGGCCACUUGACAGUAACAUCCAAAGAAAAUUCAAGAGCCGAGUCAGAGAAUGGACUAGUGUUCCUGAAAGUCGAAUCACGACCUGGGGAGAUAAAUGCCUGCUGUCUGUCACUCCAGAAAGAUUGAUGGCAUCUGAUCCCCUCCCUGCCCAACGCCUCUUGCCUCACUAGUGACUGACAUCUUCAGCAAAUCACGGGAAGUUCCUUUCUUACAGGAUCAUGGGGGCUAAGACACCUUUUGACAAAAUAAACCAAAUUGUUGCCAUGAAAUCAACAAACCAUUUUCCAAGCUUUGGACAACAUCCUAACUUAGGCAAAGGAACUCUGGAGAUGUUGACGAACCUGGGAAAACAGAUGUCUCCAGCCGACUGGUCAUCAAUGGGAGUCAAGCGGAAGCUUGGGAAAUUCAGAUGUCUUUCUUCUAUCUUUCCACCUAGUUGGGCACAUCCCCUGUGUGCUGGUUGA